rnacentral:rRNA from 1 species
AUACGGAGGGUGCGAGCGUUAAGCGGAAUUACUGGGCGUAAAGCGUGCGUAGGCGGUUUGCUAAGUCAGAUGUGAAAGCCCCGGGCUUAACCUGGGAACUGCAUUUGAUACUGGCAGACUAGAGUAUGAUAGAGGGGGGUAGAAUUCCUGGUGUAGCGGUGAAAUGCGUAGAUAUCAGGAGGAAUACCAGUGGCGAAGGCGGCCCCCUGGAUCAAUACUGACGCUGAGGUACGAAAGCGUGGGGAGCAAACAGGAUUAGAUACCCUAGUAGUCC